UUCUCGGCCAUGAGCAAAGAUGAACAUCAGAUCCUGUUCAUGGCGUUGGAACCUCUGUUUUCCCUCAGUGCCUCUCUGGUUACCAAGUUGGAAAACGCUAUAGACUCUUGGGAUUCUGAUUCGAGUCGGAUAGGUAACCUUUUCUCCAACACAUUCUGGAGCUACUACGAGGACUACUAUCAGGGAUAUUGUCGAGCCAAAAGGUAAGUAGAUGCACCGUUAACUUAAUUAGUAUCGUGCUUGACUGUCAUCGGAGACAAAGAAAGGUAAAUUACCUUGUAAUGAUUGUAGGUGUCAUUCCAUUCCCGCAUCUGUGGUGUAGCGGUUAGGUGCUCUGCCGUCGCACGGAGACGACCCGAGUUCGA